rnacentral:rRNA from 1 species
GACGAACGCUGGCGGCGUGCUUAACACAUGCAAGUCGAACGAGUGGCGAACGGGUGAGUAAUGUCUGGGAAACUGCCUGAUGGAGGGGGAUAACUACUGGAAACGGUAGCUAAUACCGCAUACCAUCAGAUGUGCCCAGAUGGGAUUAGCUAGUAGGUGGGGUAAUGGCUCACCUAGGCGACGAUCCCUAGCUGGUCUGAGAGGAUGACCAGCCACACUGGAACUGAGACACGGUCCAGACUCCUACGGGAGGCAGCAGUGGGGAAUAUUGCGCAAUGGGGGCAACCCUGACGCAGCCAUGCCGCGUGAAUGAAGAAGGCCUUCGGGUUGUAAAGUUCUUUCGGUGACGAGGCGUUAAUCACAGAAGAAGCACCGGCUAACUCCGUGCCAGCAGCCGCGGUAAUAC